UCAGAGAGGUGCCCAGCAUGCAGGACGGCUCUAGGCCCAGCUGGCUACAAUGAUGUCACCCCAGGGUAACCCCCAGACAGGAGCCACAGGUGGGGCUGCCCAGACCCGC